GAAAUGCGAUAAGUAAUGUGAAUUGCAGAAUUCAGUGAAUCAUCGAAUCUUUGAACGCACAUUGCGCCCGCCAGUAUUCUGGCGGGCAUGCCUGUUCGAGCGUCAUUUCAACCAUCAAGCCCCCCGGCUUGUGUUGGGGACCUGCGGCUGCCGCAGGCCCCGAAAACCAGUGGCGGGCUCGCUGUCACACCGGGCGUAGUAGAUUUUUCGUCUCGCCCAGGGCGUGCUGCGGGUUCCGGCCGUUAAAAAGCCUCUCUUUUAACCCAAGGUUGACCUCGGAUCAGGUAGGAAGACCCGCUGAACUUAAGC
rnacentral:misc_RNA from 1 species